rnacentral:rRNA from 1 species
CUAUGAUGUGUAGCCGGGCUGAGAGGUUGAACGGCCACAUUGGGACUGAGACACGGCCCAAACUCCUACGGGAGGCAGCAGUAGGGAAUUUUCGGCAAUGGAGGAAACUCUGACCGAGCAACGCCGCGUGAACGAUGAAGUAUUUCGGUACGUAAAGUUCUUUUAUUAGGGAAGAAUAAAUGAUGGAAAAAUCAUUCUGACGGUACCUAAUGAAUAAGCCCCGGCUAACUAUGUGCCAGCAGCCGCGGUAAUACAUAGGGGGCAAGCGUUAUCCGGAAUUAUUGGGCGUAAAGGGUGCGUAGGCGGUUAAAUAAGUUUAUGGUCUAAGUGCAAUGCUCAACAUUGUGAUGCUAUAAAAACUGUUUAGCUAGAGUAAGAUAGAGGCAAGUGGAAUUCCAUGUGUAGUGGUAAAAUGCGUAAAUAUAUGGAGGAACACCAGUAGCGAAGGCGGCUUGCUGGGUCUUUACUGACGCUGAGGCACGAAAGCGUGGGGAGCAAACAGGAUUAGAUACCCUGGUAGUCCACGCCGUAAACGAUGAGUCUAAACGUUGGGUAAAACCAGUGUUGAAGUUAACACAUUAAGUACUCCGCCUGAGUAGUACGUACGCAAGUAUGAAACUUAAAGGAAUUGACGGGACUCCGCACAAGCGGUGGAUCAUGUUGUUUAAUUCGAAGGUACCCGAAAAACCUCACCGGUCUUGACAUGCUUCUGCAAAGCUGUAGAAACACAGUGGAGGUUAUCAGUUGCACAGGUGGUGCAUGGUUGUCGUCAGCUCGUGUCGUGAGAUGUUGGGUUAAGUCCCGCAACGAGCGCAACCCUUAUUGUUAGUUACCAGCACGUAAUGGUGGGGACUUUAGCAAGACUGCCAGUGAUAAAUUGGAGGAAGGUGGGGACGACGUCAAAUCAUCAUGCCCCUUAG